UACAGAGGGUGCAAGCGUUGUUCGGAAUUAUUGGGCGUAAAGCGCGUGUAGGCGGCAGCGCAAGUCGGGUGUGAAAUCCCUCGGCUCAACCGGGGAACUGCGUCCGAUACUGGCGGGCUUGAAUCCGGGAGAGGGAUGUGGAAUUCACGGUGUAGCAGUGAAAUGCGUAGAUAUCGUGAGGAAGACCGGUGGCGAAGGCGGGUCUCUGGACAGUUCCUGACGCUGAGGCACGAAGGCCAGGGGAGCAAACGGG
rnacentral:rRNA from 1 species